rnacentral:rRNA from 2 species
AGCUUGUUGGUGAGGUAAUGGCUCACCAAAGCGUCGACGGGUAGCCGGCCUGAGAGGGUGACCGGCCACACUGGGACUGAGACACGGCCCAGACUCCUACGGGAGGCAGCAGUGGGGAAUAUUGCACAAUGGGCGAAAGCCUGAUGCAGCAACGCCGCGUGAGGGAUGACGGCCUUCGGGUUGUAAACCUCUUUUAGCAGGGAAGAAGCGAAAGUGACGGUACCUGCAGAAAAAGCGCCGGCUAACUACGUGCCAGCAGCCGCGGUAAUACGUAGGGCGCAAGCGUUAUCCGGAAUUAUUGGGCGUAAAGAGCUCGUACGCGGUCUGUCGCGUCUGCUGUGAAAACCGAGGCUCAACCUCGGGCCUGCCGUGGGUACGGCCAGACUAGAGUGCGGUAGGGGAGAUUGCAAUUCCUGGUGUACUGUCGAAUGCGCAGAUAUCAGGAGGAACACCGACGGGGAAGGCGCAUUUGGGGCCGUACAGACUUUGAAGAGUAUAGGGGUGGGACACCAA